GCUGGGCACGGUGGUGCCCGCCUGUCAUCCCAGCGACUUGGGAGGCUGAGGCAGGAGGAUCGCCAGUUCAAAUCCAGCCUCAGCAACAGCUAGAUGCUAAGCAACAGUGAGACCCUGUCUCUA
rnacentral:sRNA from 1 species